rnacentral:rRNA from 1 species
GGUCAGGAUGAACGCUAGCGACAGGCCUAACACAUGCAAGUCGAGGGGCAGCACAAGGAGCAAUCUGAGGUGGCGACCGGCGCACGGGUGAGUAACACGUAUGCAACCUGCCUGUAAGCGGGGAAUAACCCGUUGAAAGACGGACUAAUACCGCAUAAUACUAAAUUACUGCAUGGUAAUUUAUUUAAACAUUUAUGGCUUACAGAUGGGCAUGCGCAUGAUUAGCUAGUUGGAGAGGUAACGGCUCCCCAAGGCAACGAUCAUUAGGGGUUCUGAGAGGAAGGUCCCCCCACACUGGUACUGAGACACGGACCAGACUCCUACGGGAGGCAGCAGUGAGGAAUAUUGGUCAAUGGACGAGAGUCUGAACCAGCCAAGUCGCGUGCAGGAAGAAUUGUCCUAUGGAUUGUAAACUGCUUUUGCAGGGGAAUAAAGUGCAUCACGUGUGAUGUUUUGUAUGUACUCUGCGAAUAAGGAUCGGCUAACUCCGUGCCAGCCGCCGC